rnacentral:lncRNA from 1 species
UUCAUUAAAAUAAAAGUCAGAAUCACAAUCUAACAAUAUACAUUUAUAUAGACAUAUAAUGUUUGACUCAUCACCUUUCCCAAACCGGAUUUCUUAUCAUGUUCAUCUCUACACUAUCAUUUUAUCUUUCCCUAUCAGUUUCGCUAGAAGUUCAUAGGGAUUCCCACUACACAUGGACACAAACAUUUUAUUUGUAAUCAAAUGAACAUCCUUAUACUCUAUUCGAUAACAGGCAGCAUAACAAAUAACUGUCUCAAUACCCCGUCCGAUAUGAGCAACACUUAUAAACUCCAAACUCUUUCUGGUAUGGGACUUUUCAGUUCCGUACGGCCAAGGAUAACUUCCACAGUAGAGUUCACCCUAUGCACCAAGUCCGUAUACUCUUAUCCAUGAUACCCAGUGAGCCCUUUUCAUUCAACCAUAUUAGUUCAUGCAUGUUAUUACUUUCAUUUACUAUUUAACCCCAAAUGGCACGUAUACCCACAUCCCCAAGUAAGACAAGAGUAUGAAAUUUAUAUUUCAUAAUACAUGAAUAAAAUAAAUAGAACAACAAGGAACAUAG